GGGCGCGUAACUCAGUGGUAGAGUGCUGCCCUCACAUGGCAGAAGUCACAGGUUCGAACCCUGUCGCGCCCACCA
rnacentral:tRNA from 2 species